rnacentral:rRNA from 1 species
GACGAACGCUGGCGGCGUGCUUAACACAUGCAAGUCGAACGGUAAGGCCCUUCGGGGUACGCGAGUGGCGAACGGGUGAGUAACACGUGGGUGAUCUACCCUGCACUUCGGGAUAAGCCUGGGAAACUGGGUCUAAUACCGGAUAGGACUCCUGGCUUCAUGGUUGGGGGUGGGAAGCUUUUGCGGUGUGGGACGGGCCCGCGGCCUAUCAGCUUGUUGGUGGGGUAAUGGCCCACCAAGGCGACGACGGGUAGCCGUGCCUGAGAGGGUGACCGGUCACACUGGGACUGAGAUACGGCCCAGACUCCUACGGGAGGCAGCAGUGGGGAAUAUUGCACAAUGGGCGCAAGCCUGAUGCAGCGACGCCGCGUGAGGGAUGACGGCCUUCGGGUUGUAAACCUCUUUCAGCUAUGACGAAGCGCAAGUGACGGUAGUAGCAGAAGAAGGACCGGCCAACUACGUGCCAGCAGCCGCAGUAA